GCCGGGCACGGUGGCUUGUGCCUGUAAUCCAAGCGCCGGGGAGGCUGAGGUUGGCGGACGGCUUGAGCCUGGGGGUUCUGGGCUGCAGCGAGCUGUGCUGAGCGGGCGUCCGCGCUAAGGCCGGCAUCGAUAUGGUGGUCCUGGGGGAGCCG
rnacentral:SRP_RNA from 1 species